AAUGUCAAAUAUCCAACACUGGUCAUUGUUGAUACCUAAGCAUACUGUAAAUAGUAUUGAUUAAUUCUGUAAUGAAUUUAAUAUAGCCUACUUUAAAUAGCCUGUCGUCUUAAAUUUUUUAAGCGAUUUUUUUAACCAACACAUUUUAAUACUGUAUUGCAUGUUUUAUGUAUUUCUCUAACCCUUUUGUAUGCGAAUUGCCAAUGCCAAUAAACCAUCAUAAAUAACGUUUUUUUCCAGUGACAUUGCGUAAAAAUUUUAGAGGAUCUGUAUUCAUUAGGGAGAAAUAGGAUUGGUCCGGGGCAAAUGAAACAACAGGAUAAAUAAAUGUGCUCAUAAAUUUACGCACGCUGUGCGCAAUAAGGAACGUGUCACCAUAGAAAUGGAAUCUAGAUUAUAAUUCUAUGUGCGUCACAAUGUCCAAUAACAUACAUUUUAAUUCCUAAUUCUAUGUGUAUUACUCAGAGGUUAAAUUAUUCACAAUCACAACCGACCUACAGUAUAUCGAUAGCAAACGCGAAUUCUUCAUUCAAGUCAAUCAAAAAAUAUAUAUAUAUUUGUUCCUGUUCUCAGUAAGAGCUUUGGCCAACAAAAACAAAUGAUCAAAAAGGCCUCAUCACUCUCCAUGGAGGAGCAGUUAGUUUGUGCCAUGAACCAAUUCAUAUCACUCUCUACUUGCCACAUUCUAACUGGUUUAGUCACUAAUUGAAGACUCUAUUGCAGAAAAUGCUCAAAGGGCAAUUCUGUAAGUGGAAAGCCCAUGGAAGGCUCCCACUGGCCCUCCCGCUGAGACCAAUGAAGGCCUGGCUCCUGGCAGGGAAAAGAGUCUUCUUGGCGCGUGAGACAGAGAUAUGGAAGAGAUGGAGGAAGGUCUGUGUAGCUGAAUUGACUUGGGAUGCAGAGAGGGGCCUGGAGACAGAGAUAGUUCUCUUGGUCAGUUGCCAGAGAGUUCAGGAUGAAUUAAGGAUGUCCGAUGUCAUCGUGGACACGGCGCCCAACGGAGCCAUCCAGCUUCUGAAAGAGAAAUGUUGGAAGUUGAACUUCUUGCAUCUAAAGGAUGAGACAUGCCAGGCCACUGAGCUCACUGAGCUGUAUGGACAUUCUGAGACCUCUUCAAAGGAAACUCUAAUUGACGAGAAAAGUCCAAAGACCAAGUGCCCGGCCAGUGUCGCUGGGGCUGCUGACAUUGACAACACCAAUGAGGAGGCUUCAGAGGAGUCUCCAAAUAAAAAUGUGGUGGACAUUCAGGCUGAGCCACUGGACCUGGUCAGUGUGGAGAAAGAGGCUGCUGGAGAUGGAAAUGUCCUCAGCAAGGUGGUGAAGCCCAAAGGGUGGCUGAAGGAGGGCUGCAAAGAUCAGCUAACCCCCAAAAUCUAUGUUAUGAUUGCGGAACUCCCAAAGUCCUAUUUCGGAUCCACUGAGAGCUUUCCUGAGAUGUGUAGCAGAGGUCCUGAGGUGUGCAGUGGAGUGCCCGAGGUUAGUAGCAGAGGUCCUGAGGUGACCACCAGAGGUCCACGGGUCUGCAGUAGAGGUCCAAAGGUAUGCAGUGGAGUGCCUGAGGUGUCAAAUGCAGUGGGAGAGGUGUCAAGUGACACAACGACGACAGAGGCUGCUGAAGACCUUCUGGACACUGGAAAUGUCCUCAGCAAGGUGGUGAACCCCAAAGGGUGGCUGAAGCAGGACUGGGAAGAUCAUCUGACCAGAGACUUCAAUGAUAUGAUUGCAAAACUCCCAAAGUCCUAUUUCAGAUCCAUUGAGAGCCUUCCUGAGGUGUGCAGCAGAGGUCCUGAGGCGUCAAACGCAGUGGAAGAGGUGUGCAGUGACACAAUGAAGAUAGAGGCUGCUGGAAAUCUUCUGAAAACUGGAAAUGGCCUAAGCAAGGUGGUGCUCCUAUCCACUGAGAGCCAUCCUGAGGUGUGCAUUAGAGUGCCUGAGGUGUUCGGUGGAAGUCCAGAGGUAUGCAGAGGAGUGCCUGAAGUGUACAGUGGAGAUCCUGAGGUGUGCGGUGAGGUGCCUGAGGCGCCAAACGCAGUGGAAGAGGUGUCCAGUGACACAAAGACAGAGGCUGCUGAAGACCUUCAGGACACUGAAAAUGUCCUCAGCAAGGUGGUGAACCCCAAAGGGUGUUUGAAUGAGGACUGGGAAAAUCAGCUGACCCGAGACUUCAAUGAUAUGAUUGCAAAACUCCCAAAGUCCUAUUUUGGAUCCAACGAGAGCCUUCCUGAGGUGUGCAGCGGAGUGCCUGAGGUGUCGAACGCAGUGGAAGAGGUGCGCAGUGGCAAAAAGAAGCAGAAGAAACAUGUCGUUCUACGAUUCCUCCGACGUGUGUGGAAGUUAUUCACAUGCACCAACAGGCUCCCCAAAGAGGAGUGACUGAAGCACACACACAACUCCGGGCCACACUUUGCCUCAGCGACUGAAUUUCUCCACCAUCUCCCCCUUUCCUUCCAGCUGCCUAUUUUUAAUAAUAAAUAUAAAGGGGAUCUGAACCCCAACAAAAAAACUGUUUUCAUUAGUGUUUUUCAUAUAACUUAGUAUAGUAUGAAGAAUGCUUGAAAUCAUUUUUGUACUAAUUCAUUAUCCAGACUAUUAAGCUGUUUGAGAAGUACUUAUUAAGUGCGUAUUAAUCACAGUAUUACUGCAUUACACACUAGUAAAUAUGUACAAAAUCAUUUGAGACACUUUGUAAGUUUGUGGUUGAAUGGCUCUACUGUGGGCUAUUUUCCUCAUCAAAACCAAAUCAAAACUUUAUUUACAUAGCACAUUUCUUAUAGAUGAUGCAUUUCAAAGUGCUUAGCAAAUCAAAUAAAAAUGAGACUAAUUAAAAUAGUAAAAUGAUAA
rnacentral:lncRNA from 1 species